rnacentral:piRNA from 1 species
UAAGUUCUGCCAAUUGGUUUAUGGGA